AAUCCACUGUGGAAUUCGCCCUUAGAGUUUGAUCCUGGCUCAGGAUGAACGCUAGCGGGAGGCCUAACACAUGCAAGUCGAACGGGAUUGGGAGCUUGCUCCCAUGAGAGUGGCGCACGGGUGAGUAACGCGUAUGCAACCUACCUUUAACUGAGGGAUAGCCCAUAGAAAUGUGGAUUAAUACCUCAUAGUUCUUUUGGCCCGCAUGGGUUGAAAGAUAAAGCUCCGGCGGUUAAAGAUGGGCAUGCGUGACAUUAGCUAGUUGGUAAGGUAACGGCUUACCAAGGCUACGAUGUCUAGGGGUUCUGAGAGGAUGAUCCCCCACACUGGUACUGAGACACGGACCAGACUCCUACGGGAGGCAACAGUGAGGAAUAUUGGUCAAUGGGCGCAAGCCUGAACCAGCCAUCCCGCGUGCAGGAUGACGGCCCUAUGGGUUGUAAACUGCUUUUAUACACCAAGAAAAACACCUACGUGUAGGUGCCCGACGGUAGUGUAGAAUAGCUUC
rnacentral:rRNA from 1 species